rnacentral:rRNA from 1 species
ACGGGAGGCAGCAGUGGGGAAUUUUGCGCAAUGGGCGAAAGCCUGACGCAGCAACGCCGCGUGAGCGAUGAAGGCCUUCGGGUCGUAAAGCUCUUUCGACGGGAAGGAAAGGCCAGUGGCCAGCGACCACGGGUUUGACAGUACCCGGAGAAGAAGCACCGGCUAACUCUGUGCCAGCAGCCGCGGUAAUACAGAGGGUGCGAGCGUUGUUCGGAAUUAUUGGGCGUAAAGCGCGUGUAGGCGGCGGAUCAGGUCGGGUGUGAAAGCCCUCGGCUCAACCGGGGAAGUGCGCCCGAAACCGAUCUGCUGGAGUGCCGGAGAGGAUGGCGGAAUUCCGGGUGUAGAGGUGAAAUUCGUAGAUAUCCGGAGGAACACCGGUGGCGAAGGCGGCCAUCUGGACGGACACUGACGCUGAGACGCGAGAGCGUGGGUAGCAAACAGGAUUAGAUACCCUGGUA